rnacentral:lncRNA from 1 species
CCAGCGCAGCUCCACUUUGGAGCCUGGGCCGGGCUCGCGGGCAGAGCCGGCGGCGGCCACCCGUCGACCGCGGACUAGUGACACCGCAGAUCGAGCUCUCGGCGGGACCGGCGGUGCGCGGCGCCCACUCGGCCUGGACUCGGUUCGUCCACAAUCCCGACGCCGAGGGUCCCUUGGCAGACAUGGCAUAAGUAACUGCAACAGAGAUUCUUCCGUGGCAGUGUUGGGAAUGCGGAAACUGAAAACCUUCCUGAAAGGUUGAGGCAUCCAUCGAAAGGUGACUCGAGUCUGACAAUACAGU